CUGCCCCCUUCCCUCUGUUUGCUCUGAGUGAUUCCCAGCUGUAUCCUGCCCAUCCUGGAUUUUCCAGGAGCCCUGCACGCACUUAAUGAACAGGAAAGCUCUUAAUGAACGUGCUGCCAGAGGAGCACUGUGCCCACAGGGCCACAACUGGGCCACUUGGAACAUUUGGGUCACUUUCGGAUGCUUGGGCCAGUCCAUGGCAGGCCUGCUCUGAAGGAACAGAAGGGUUUUCUGGGAAUGCCAGGAUAGGUGAGGUCUGGGAAGAGACAAGGAACAUUCCUGUGCAAUCUGCUGCAGUACACUCUGUUGUUGAUUUGUGGACGUCUUCUGGGAGGGAGGAUGAUCCCACCUGCCCUGCUAUUGCUGCAGUGGCAGCCCAGCUAGCACAGGUUAGGAAUGUGCUGCUCCUCCCUUUUGAACACCCCUGCAAGCACUCCUGUUUCAGCAGUGCCCUUCGACUUCUCCAUCCCAAGAGGUGCAGCAGGAGAGAGAGGUCACCAACGUGUGGGGCAUCAAAAUAGCUGCAGAAGAAAGGACCCUGGAGCUGGAAUUUCCUGGGAGAGGACUGGAAGUUGCAGAGGGCACUGAUAAAGCAGCUUUAGUGGGCACUCAACAUCCAGCUGGGGCCAGCCCACCCCAGAGAUUCUGCACGUACAGGGGGAGCCAAGGGGAGUGAGAGAGGUGCAGCAAAAUCUGAACGAAGACCUGACAAGAAAAGCUGCUGCCAAGAAAAGGGGAGCCCUGUGCACGCCAUGGGUGUUGGAGGCUGGGCUGAGCUGGAGGUGCUGGGUGUCCCCCAGGCCAUCCCAGGCAGCUGGGAGCCCAGCACAACCACGGCCUCUCCAUUUCUGCACCAGCUGCUCUCAUCCCCACCCCAAUGGCAAACCUCCAGGCGGACACAGGAUCCAGACUGAGCAGGUUCUUGGGGUGAAAAGCCCUCCCAGCAGCCUCCAGUCCGAGCUGGUGAGCACCUCCUGCAGUCUGGGCUGCGUGUUGGACACACAGCCAAGGAGUGGGAAGAGUCCUGGGAGCAGCAGCUGAAGAAUGGCCGCUCCAGCCCAGCUGAUGCCUGAACAUUUUUGCUUUUUCUGUAUUUUUCAUAUCUUUAUGACUUUGUAGACCAUUAAAAUGUGUUUAUACAGC